GACGUAGGGCGCGAGCGUUUGUCCGGGAUUUAUUGGGCGUAAAGAGCUCGUAGGCGGCUUGUCGCGUCGUCUGUGAAAUCCCGCGGCUCAACUGCGGGUCUGCAGGGCGAUACGGGCAGGCGUAGAGUUCGGUAGGGGAGACUGGGAAUUCCUGGAUGUAGCGGUGAAAUGCGGCAGAUAGUCAGGAGGGAACACCGGUGGCGAAGGCGGGUCUCUGGGCCGAUAACUGACGCUGGAGGAGCGAAAGCGUGGG
rnacentral:rRNA from 1 species